UACGGGGGGGGUAAGCGUUGUUCGGAAUUACUGGGCGUAAAGGGCUCGUAGGCGGCCAACUAAGUCAGACGUGAAAUCCCUCAGCUUAACUGGGGAACUGCGUCUGAUACUGGAUGGCUUGGAUUCGGGAGAGGAAUGCGGAAUUCCAGGUGUAGCGGUGAAAUGCGUAGAUAUCUGGAGGAACACCGGUGGCGAAGGCGGCAUUCUGGACCGAUAUUGACGCUGAGGCGCGAAAGCUAGGGUAGCAAACGGG
rnacentral:rRNA from 1 species